UACGGAGGGGGCGAGCGUUAUUCGGAAUUAUUGGGCGUAAAGGGCGCGUAGGCGGCCAGCGCAAGUCAGUUGUGAAAUCUCCGGGCUUAACUCGGAACGGUCAACUGAUACUGCGCGGCUAGAGUGCAGAAGGGGCAACUGGAAUUCUCGGUGUAGCGGUGAAAUGCGUAGAUAUCGAGAGGAACACCUGCGGCGAAGGCGGGUCUCUGGGCCGAUACUGACGCUGAGGAGCGAAAGCGUGGGGAGCGAACAGG
rnacentral:rRNA from 1 species